rnacentral:rRNA from 1 species
UUAGAGGCAUUGCCUGCCCAGUGACUAUAGUUAAACGGCCGCGGUAUCCUGACCGUGCAAAGGUAGCAUAAUCAUUUGUUCCUUAAUUAGGGACUAGUAUGAACGGCUAAACGAGGGUUCAACUGUCUCUUAUUUUCAAUCAGUGAAAUUGACCUUCCAGUGAAGAGGCUGGAAUAUAAAAAUAAGACGAGAAGACCCUAUGGAGCUUAAAUUAAUAAGCCUAAUUUUUAUACUAACCUCCUAAUGGAACAAAACAAAAAACAUAAGCUUAAAAUUUUGGUUGGGGUGACCUCGGAGAACAAAAAAUCCUCCGAAAGAUAUAUAACAUAGACUUACAAGUCAAAGUAACCCAGUUAUCCAAUUGACCCAAAAAAUUGAUCAACGGACCAAGUUACCCUAGGGAUAACAGCGCAAUCCUAUUUAAGAGUCCAUAUCGACAAUAGGGUUUACGACCUCGAUGUUGGAUCAGGACAUCCCAAUGGUGCAGAAGCUAUUAAUGGUUCGUUUGUUCAACGAUUAAAGUCCUACGUGAUCUA